AGGACGAACGCUGGCGGCGUGCUUAACACAUGCAAGUCGAGCGGAAAGGCCCUUCGGGGUACUCGAGCGGCGAACGGGUGAGUAACACGUGAGCAACCUGCCCUUAGCUCCGGGAUAGCUCCGGGAAACCGGAAUUAAUACCGGAUAUGACCUAGGCCGACAUCGGCUGUGGUGGAAAGUUUUUCGGCUGGGGAUGGACUCGCGGCCUAUCAGCUUGUUGGUGGGGUAAUGGCCUACCAAGGCGACGACGGGUAGCCGGCCUGAGAGGGCGACCGGCCACACUGGGACUGAGACACGGCCCAGACUCCUACGGGAGGCAGCAGUGGGGAAUCUUGCGCAAUGGGCGAAAGCCUGACGCAGCGACGCCGCGUGGGGGAUGAAGGCCUUCGGGUUGUAAACCUCUUUCAGCCCUGACGAAGCGAAAGUGACGGUAGGGGCAGAAGAAGCGACCGGCCAACUACGCGCCAGCAGCCGC
rnacentral:rRNA from 1 species